AGCUCCAAUAGCGUAUAUUUAAGUUGUUGCAGUUAAAAAGCUCGUAGUUGGAUUUUGGUUAAGAGGGCGCGGUCGGCCGUUUGGUCUGUACUGCGUUGUCUUGACUUCCUGAUGAGGACAUGCUCUUGGUUAACGCUGAGACAUGGAGUCAUCGUGGUUACUUUGAAAAAAUUAGAGUGUUCAAAGCGGGCUUACGCUUGAAUAUAUUAGCAUGGAAUAACACUAUAGGACUCCUGUCCUAUCUCGUUGGUCUCGGGAUGGGAGUAAUGAUUAAGAGGAACAGUUGGGGGCAUUCGUAUUUCAUUGUCAGAGGUGAAAUUCUUGGAUUUAUGAAAGACGAACUUCUGCGAAAGCAUUUGCCAAGGAUGUUUUCA
rnacentral:rRNA from 1 species